GCACUGUGACCUUGAAG
rnacentral:misc_RNA from 1 species